UGGGGAAUAUUGCACAAUGGGGGAAACCCUGAUGCAGCGACGCCGCGUGAGCGAAGAAGGUUUUCGAAUCGUAAAGCUCUGUCCUAAGAGAAGAUAAUGACGGUAUCAUAGGAGGAAGCCCCGGCUAGAUACGUGCCAGCAGCCGCGGUAAUACGUAUGGGGCGAGCGUUGUCCGGAAUUAUUGGGCGUAAAGGGUACGUAGGCGGUCUAUUAAGUCAGGUGUGAAAGCGUGAGGCUUAACCUCAUUAAGCACUUGAAACUGAUAGACUUGAGUGAAGGAGAGAGAAGUAGAAUUACUAGUGUGGCGGUGAAAUGCGUAGAUAUUAGGAGGAAUACCGGUGGCGAAGGCGACUUUCUGGACUUUUACUGACGCUCAGGUACGAAAGCGAGGGAAGCAAACAGG
rnacentral:rRNA from 1 species